rnacentral:rRNA from 1 species
UACGGGGGGGGCAAGCGUUGUUCGGAAUUACUGGGCGUAAAGGGCUCGUAGGCGGCCAACUAAGUCAGACGUGAAAUCCCUCGGCUUAACCGGGGAACUGCGUCUGAUACUGGAUGGCUUGAGGUUGGGAGAGGGAUGCGGAAUUCCAGGUGUAGCGGUGAAAUGCGUAGAUAUCUGGAGGAACACCGGUGGCGAAGGCGGGUCUCUGGGCCGAAACUGACGCUGAGGAGCGAAAGCGUGGGGAGCAAACAGG